AUCGAUCAUAAAACUAUUAAUAAAGUGAAACUCCGUUUACUCUGAGAAGUGACUGGAAUAAAUAAGAGUUAACGUAACAAAGAGAAAAAUGGCAUUAAUUAGAAGAGCAACUCAUGCGGGUAGUUGGUACGCAGGCUCUGGUUCCGAGUUGAAUAAGCAAUUAGAAGGUUGGUUGGGUGCUGCAGAUUUAUCACAUGGGCCUGCUAGGGCAAUUAUUGCCCCACAUGCAGGUUACAGCUAUUGCGGAGCAUGUGCUGGUUUUGCAUAUCGCCAGAUUAGUCCUGUUGUUGUACGCAGGAUAUUUAUUUUGGGCCCAUCGCAUCAGGUGAGAUUAGCAGGCUGUGCUCUUUCGUCUGCUUCGAUUUAUCAAACACCACUGUAUGAUCUGCAUAUUGAUCAACAAGUAUGCAGAGAACUUGAAGAGACUAGACAUUUUGAAUGGAUGGAUUUAAAUACAGAUGAGGAAGAACACAGCAUCGAAAUGCAAUUACCAUUCAUAGCGAAGGUUAUGCAAGGGUUCAAAGAUUCUUUUACUAUAAUUCCUAUACUUGUUGGCUCGUUAAGUCCAGAAAGAGAGGCACUUUAUGGAAGAUUGUUAGCACCAUAUAUGGCUGAUCCACAGACGUUAUUUGUUAUUUCGUCAGAUUUUUGUCACUGGGGACAACGUUUUCGUUAUACAUAUUAUGAUAUGUCAUGUGGUCCUAUUCAUAGAUCUAUUCAAAACCUUGACAAAAUGGGUAUGGACAUCAUAGAAAAUUUAAAUCCUACAGUAUUCACGGAUUACCUUAAAAAAUAUGGUAACACUAUAUGUGGUCGACAUCCUAUUAGUGUCUUAUUGCAAGCAAUUAAUAGUUUAAAAGGAAAUACUAAUAGCCAAAGAAUGAACCUGAAGUUUUUGAAAUACGUUCAAAGCAAUCAAUGCAAUAACAUGAAUGACAGUUCUGUUAGUUACGCCAGUGCUUCCUUAGUUCUUGAGUGAUAAGAUGUACAUCUUCAGCAUCAUCAUUGCCAGACAAGAGAUUUACACGAGAAAAGAAAGUACUAAAAGAAUGAUGAAAAUAGCAACACAG
rnacentral:misc_RNA from 1 species